CUGAAUUUCCUUGCAUCGUUUUGAUUAAUAUUUUAAGGGAACUUGCAAUCCAGCAUCCAACAAGAAAAUUUGCAGUUCUGCAUCCAAAGAAACUCUAAAUCAAGAAAUGGACAACAAGAAGGGAACCAAAAGGACCUAUAUUGGUCUGAUCAUUGGCCAAAAAUAUGAACUUAUGAGGAACACUAAAUCAAGAAAUGGACCAGAGAAGCAAAAGGAUGAAAGCUGGUUUGAUUGCUGGGAACAAACAGAAAACUACCAAGGAACAAGGGAGCAAAAUAUUUUCUAGCUGCUCUGAUAACUGGACAAAAAGAUA